AUGGACUGCGUUCUUCUGAGCUCACACUUGUCGUCCCAUGCCACUGUUAACGCAAGGCUUCAGCAAUGCUCUGUUAGUCUCAACAGUAUAGGAUUUGCAGUUAUCAGAAAGGGAUGCUUAAGAUUAAGGUGCUAUGCAAUUGGUGAUGCAGGGCGUCGAAAUGAUCCUUUGAACGAGAACAAGAAUGGGCCCAUUUCGCAAGAACUAAACGGGUCCAGUGCUUCCUUCACAACUGUUGGUGCUGAAAUCACUCAAGAAACAGGAGAUUUCUUUAGUAGUGAUGCUGAGGGUGACCCGGAUAAACCGACGGAGGGUUUCUCCUCGAUCGAGGAUGCAAUAAAUUCGCUGCGGGAGGGAAAGUUUGUUAUUGCCGUAGAUGACGAGAAGGGUGACAAUGAAGGGGAUCUUAUCAUGGCAGCCGAUCAAGCCAGCCCAGAAUCAAUUGCAUUCAUGAUCAGAAAUGGUUCCGGCAUCAUCUCAGUGGGCAUGAAGGAAGAGGACCUAGAAAGGUUGAUGCUUCCUAUGAUGUCUCCGGUCACAGAAAUUGGCGACAUUUCAGCUGCUGCUUCCACAGCGACAGUGGACGCCAGAGUGGGCAUAACCACUGGUGUAUCAGCUGCAGACAGGGCAAAGACCAUCCUUGCUCUAGCCUCCCCUGACUCCAAGCCCAGUGACCUCAGAAGGCCAGGCCACAUAUUCCCCCUCAAGUACCGGAACGGAGGCGUGCUGAAAAGAGCCGGCCACACCGAGGCAUCGGUGGAUCUUGUCGCAUCGGCCGGUUUGCGCCCGGUAUCAGUUCUAUCGACCAUCAUCGACCCGAAGGACGGUUCGAUGGCAUCAACACCGGCGCUGAAACAGAUGGCUUUGGAGCAUGAUAUCCCGAUUGUCUCGAUCACUGAUCUCAUCCGGUACAGGAGGAAAAGGGAGAAACUGGUGGAACUGAUCGCUGUAUCUCGUUUGCCUACUAAAUGGGGCCUCUUCCGCGCUUACUGCUACCAAUCCAAGCUGGACGGAACUGAGCACAUCGCUGUUGCAAAGGGCGAUAUCGGCGACGGGGAAGACGUGCUGGUGAGGGUGCAUUCAGAGUGCCUGACCGGCGACAUCCUGGGCUCCGCCCGCUGCGACUGCGGCGAGCAGCUGGACCUGGCGAUGCAGCUGAUCGAGAAGGCCGGCCGUGGCGUCCUCGUGUACCUGCGCGGACAUGAAGGCCGGGGCAUUGGGCUCGGCCAGAAGCUCCUUGCCUACAACCUGCAGGACCAAGGAAGCGACACGGUGGAGGCCAACGUCGAGCUCGGCCUUGCCAUUGACUCCCGCGAGUACGGCAUAGGCGCCCAGAUUCUUAGGGACAUUGGCGUGCGCACGAUGCGGCUGAUGACGAACAACCCGGCAAAGUUCGUUGGGCUCAAGGGGUACGGGCUCGCCGUGGUGGGCCGGGUCCCGGUGAUCUCGCCGAUCACCAAGGAGAACCAGAAAUACCUCGAGACCAAGAGGACCAAGAUGGGGCACCUCUACGGAUCCGACCUUCCCGGCGGCCUCCUGAAGGAAUUCCUCAAUCCUACGGAAGACAACACCACUAGCUAA
rnacentral:rRNA from 1 species